UCCUGAGUAGCUGAGAUUAUAGGUGAGUGC
rnacentral:piRNA from 1 species